rnacentral:lncRNA from 1 species
GAUGUAUUUCUAGAAGUGUUGGGCCUAGCAAGAUGGCAGCGCGUGUACAAUAAGAAUUUUUAUGAAGUGCCGCUGCGAAGGGUUGCUACAUACCAGUGAGGUGUAUAAGCAUAAUUAUCUCCAGAGAGAGAGACAGAGAGAGAGGAAGGUCCUCCCGCCACAAAGUGCUGAAUGCUUGGGAGCCGAGUGCCCCGAACCUUCCAGAUGCCCAGGAUCACAGAGAAACCCUGCCUGUGCACAUAUGUUGUGUGUGACAGGGGCAGCUGCACUGGUGCUGACGAUAAUUGUAAUGUCUGCAGUUUUGUUAUGAACGUCAAGGUCAUGAGACAUCCAGUCACACUUCUCACCAUUGCAGUCCUGAUAACAGAGUUGCACAUUUCAAGAUAUGGAGAAUGGGUAUGGGCUGAGACUGACUGUGAUAAUGCAGCAUAUACUACCCAAGCAUGGUUCUUCAUCCUUCUCUGCGCGACAAGUUUGACAAACAUUUUGUCUAUGACAUUUUGUUUUGCUGGAUCUUCCGCCUAUGCUGCAGUGUAUUCUGCUCACAGAGCCCUGAGUUUGAUGACGUCCGGUGGUGUCUUGAUGGUGUGAACCAAUGGUAACGGGCGAUUUAAGCUGUAUGUGCUUAAAAACAGAAG